GAUGAACGCUAGCUACAGGCUUAACACAUGCAAGUCGCGGGGCAGCAUGUCGGUUGCUUGCAACCGAUGAUGGCGACCGGCGCACGGGUGAGUAACGCGUAUCCAACCUGCCCUUCACCACGGAAUAAUCCAGUGAAAAUUGGUCUAAUACCGUAUGAGGUCAUACGAUGGCAUCAGAAUAUGACGAAAGGUUUAGCGGUGAAGGAUGGGGAUGCGUCUGAUUAGCUUGUUGGUGAGGUAACGGCUCACCAAGGCGACGAUCAGUAGGGGUUCUGAGAGGAAGGUCCCCCACAUUGGAACUGAGACACGGUCCAAACUCCUACGGGAGGCAGCAGUGAGGAAUAUUGGUCAAUGGGCGAGAGCCUGAACCAGCCAAGUAGCGUGCAGGAUGACGGCCCUAUGGGUUGUAAACUGCUUUUAUAAGGGAAUAAAGUGAGCUACGUGUAGCUUUUUGCAUGUACCUUAUGAAUAAGGACCGGCUAAUUCCGUG
rnacentral:rRNA from 1 species